AUCGAUUCACCCUAAAGAUCAAAAGAUCAAGGAAGUCAUUUCUCUGUGUUCUUUCCUUGAUCUAGAUCUCCCGGUUGCCUGGAUCUGUACAUUCAUGCAUCCACCGUCGAUCUCUGAUGGAAUCCAAUUGAAUCCAAAGCAAAUGGAUUUGUUCUGCCAAUUCUACGCCCAAAACUCAUCCACCUUCCUCCCAGUCUAACAAGAAAAAGCCCUUUUCAGUUAAAUCAGAAACGAAAAAUUCCCUUUUAUAAACAAAUUCAGGUUGUUUAAAAGGGCGUUAAAAACACGGAUUAGAAUCACCUUCAUCAGAUAUAACCUAUGUUGAUU
rnacentral:lncRNA from 1 species